rnacentral:tRNA from 1 species
GGAGGUAGAGCACAUGCUUAGCAUGCACAAGAUCCUGGGUUCAAUUCCCAGUACCUCCA